GAUGAACGCUGGCGGCGUGCCUAAUACAUGCAAGUCGAGCGAAUGGAUUAAGAGCUUGCUCUUAUGAAGUUAGCGGCGGACGGGUGAGUAACACGUGGGUAACCUGCCCAUAAGACUGGGAUAACUCCGGGAAACCGGGGCUAAUACCGGAUAACAUUUUGAACCGCAUGGUUCGAAAUUGAAUGGCAGCUUCGGCUGUCACUUCUGGAUGGACCCGCGUCGCAUUAGCUAGUAGGUGAGGUAACGGCUCACCAGGGCAACGAUGCGUAGCCGACCUGAGAGGGUGAUCGGCCACACUGGGACUGGGACACGGCCCAGACUCCUACGGGAGGCAGCAGUAGGGAAUCUUCCGCAAUGGACGAAAGUCUGACGGAGCAACGCCGCGUGAGUGAUGAAGGCUUUCGGGUCGUAAAACUCUGUUGUUAGGGAAGAACAAGUGCUAGUUGAAUAAGCUGGCACCUUGACGGUACCUAACCAGAAAGCCACGGCUAACUACGUGCCAGCCGCCGCAGUAA
rnacentral:rRNA from 1 species